UGGUUGCCCAUAUUACCCAUUUCUAAUAUGUUCUCUCUCUCUUUUCCUUCUUCAAGCAAGCGAUAAAGUCUCAAAAGCUUAGAUAUGAUAACACCAAAACCGUGAAGACUCAGCUUCAAAACGUCAAAAAUCCCUAAAAGAGUAAUAACAAGGGGAAUGGAUUUGAUAGUUAAACCCUAACACAACAUCACAAGCCGAACAGAAAAAGGAGAAUGGGUGUCUGUGGGCUCGACCCAGGUCCAAUAU